rnacentral:rRNA from 1 species
GGAAUCUUCCACAAUGGGCGCAAGCCUGAUGGAGCAACACCGCGUGAGUGAAGAAGGGUUUCCGCUCGUAAAGCUCUGUUGCUAGAGAAGAACGUGCGUGAGAGCAAUUGUUCACGCAGUGACGGUAUCUAACCAGAAAGCCACGGCUAACUACGUGCCAGCAGCCGCGGUAAUACGUAGGUGGCAAGCGUUGUCCGGAUUUAUUGGGCGUAAAGCGAGCGCAGGCGGUUUCUUAAGUCUGAUGUGAAAGCCCCCGGCUCAACCGGGGAGGGUCAUUGGAAACUGGGAGACUUGAGUGCAGAAGAGGAGAGUGGAAUUCCAUGUGUAGCGGUGAAAUGCGUAGAUAUAUGGAGGAACACCAGUGGCGAAGGCGGCUCUCUGGUCUGUAACUGACGCUGAGGCUCGAAAGCGUGGGGAGCAAACA